ACGGAGAGUUUGAUCCUGGCUCAGGACGAACGCUGGCGGCGUGCUUAACACAUGCAAGUCGAACGAGGACCAGGGAGCUUGCUCCCUGUAACCGAGUGGCGAACGGGUGAGUAACACGUGAUCAACUUGUCCUAGGGCGGGGGACAACCUGGGGAAACCCGGGCUAAUACCGCAUGAUGUCUCAUUCUCGCAUGGGGAUGAGAUCAAAGAGGGCCUCUGCUUGCAAGCUCUUGCCCAAGGAGGGGAUCGCGACGUAUCAGCUUGUUGGUAGGGUAAUGGCCUACCAAGGCUACGACGCGUAGCGGGUCUGAGAGGAUGACCCGUCACAUUGGGACUGAGAUACGGCCCAGACUCCUACGGGAGGCAGCAGUAGGGAAUAUUGCGCAAUGGACGAAAGUCUGACGCAGCGACGCCGCGUGU
rnacentral:rRNA from 1 species